GCAGCCAACAGGACAAAUAAAGAUUAAAAGGGAGGACUAUGAAUCUCUUCCAAAAGAGGUUGCCAGUGCUAAACCCAAAGUAUUGCUAGACGUGAAACUGAAGGCUGAAGAUUUUAUAGUGGAUGUUUCACAACUUCUGCCAGAGAAAUUUGCAGAGCAGCUGAUUCGAGUAUAUUGUAAGAAGGUGGACAGAAAGAGUUUGUAUGCCGCAAGACAACAUUUUGUUCAGUGGUGUGCAGACAGAAAUUUCACCAAGCCGCAGGUAGGUGGCCUGUUACUCACAAACUUUGCACAAUUUUUUAAGUAAAAACCAAAAGUAAGUCUAUCUGCUGAAAAGUUCCCAUUUAAGUUAUAGUCAUUUGGUUAUGGUUUUGAAAAUAAGGUCUUUCACUUUCUUUCCUUUUAAAAUGUCUGAAUCUGUGUCAGCCAGUGAUUUCUUCCUACAGGAGUUGGGAAUGGAUACUGUUUAGCAUUAUUGUCCUAAUAAUAAAAAUGUGAACAUGUAAAUAA
rnacentral:sRNA from 1 species